GACGUAGGGGGCCAGCGUUGUUCGGAAUUACUGGGCGUAAAGGGUUCGUAGGCGGUGUAGCAAGUCGGGAGUGAAAUCUCUGGGCUUAACCCAGAGGCUGCUUCCGAAACUGCUGUGCUUGAGUGUGGGAGAGGCGCGUGGAAUUGCAGGUGUAGCGGUGAAAUGCGUAGAUAUCUGCAGGAGCACCCGUGGCGAAAGCGGCGCGCUGGACCACUACUGACGCUGAGGAACGAAAGCUAGGGGAGCAAACAGG
rnacentral:rRNA from 1 species